AAUGAUAAUAUUAUUAUCAAUAUUAUAUUAUUAAAACUGAUAUAAAAAUAUUAUAUUAUAAAUGAGGACGGGGGCCAGGUAAAUGACCUUGGAGGGCCGCAUCCGGCCCCUGGGCCUUAGUUUGGGGACCCCUGGUGUAGAUGCACCCGAGGAGAAAGGGGGGAGGAAAGGGAGGGUUGGGAUUGGGGCCUCACCAGCUGAGGCCACUUGGAGUUCUGACCACAUCCAGGAGCAAACCCAGAAAAGGAAUAAAAGCCCUAUGGAUGGGGAUUGGUGAGGAGACCCGUCUUGGAGAAGUGCAAACAAUGGAUCGGGGAUUAUGUUGCUCUUUGCUUUUGCUGCUUGCCCUGAAGGCAGCCGCUCCAAAGAGAGGGAAUGGAUCGGGACCCAUUUGGGGCUCCAGUUGGGGGGCCACAGUUGGGCCUUUGGGGUCUCCCCCUCCUCUGUUUGACUGCUCCCUGCAAGGGGUGGGAGAUUGGCCCCUCUCCCCAACUUCCAUGGAAAUGGUAGCCAACCGCAGCCAGAAUGAACAGGAAGGCCAUGUCGGAGAUUUUCGGAUUUGGGUCAUACUCCCCAUCUUCCUACUCUUAGCUUUUAUCUUCAUCUUAACAUGUUGCUGCGAAUGCCUCCUGAAACGAAUGAUAGCCGCCUUCGAACGAAACUGGAGGAGCAAUAACCUCCCCCUGAGGGUCUUCAACCAGAGCUCCAGCAAUGGCUACGGGGCUUUUGAAAACAUCGAAAGGCAGGCUCCUGAUAUAGAGGGAUCUCAAGAUAGUGCCGCUUCAGUGGAUGAUGGGAUCAUUUGGAUGAGGAUCCCUCCUCGGGAGAGAGGAGACUCUGAGGUCACCCUGGAAGCAGACAAGGUGGCUUAAGCCAUCCAAGGUCUGGCCAAAGCAGGACUACGUCCCAUUUUAGGCCAAAUCAAGGCAUCCUCUGUGACUGUUUUUAAUCCCAUGUUAUCGACUAGGUUUUCUUUUAAAUGUAAUGACUUCCCCCAAGUUGCCCUUUGCAAACGGGACACUGGUUUGACCCCAUUCUGCUCCAAUUCCAAAGUGUGUACGUUGGACUACAACUCCCAUCAGCCAGCAGUGAAGGAUGAUGGGAGUUCAAUAACAACAGCUAGAAUGUCUUCAUCACAGCCCUGGGCAAACUUUGGCCCUCCAGGUGUUUUGGACUACAACUCCCACAAUUCCUAACAGCCGGUAGGCUGUUAGGAAUUGUGGGAGUUGUAGUCCAAAACACCUGGAGGGCCAAAGUUUGCCCAGGGCUGCUCUAACAGCAUCUGGAGAGUUACACAAUUCCUAUCACUGGAAUGAAAUCCUUAAGAAGAGCCAAUGAAGACAUGAUGAAAUAUUGUGGCGUCCCAUGAUUUUAGGGCAGCUUAACUUUUAAAUAAUCCUCCUUGUGCAGAUGUUGAGUUUUUAUCUAUAUGAAACCCAUGAUGCAUCUAUUGUCAUAAGGCAGGGACAUGGAACCAUAUUUUCCCCGGAAGUUCCAUGCUGUAGCUUUUUAAAUACUUGAAUUGUGCACCUUCACGUCUAUGCACAGACCCCAAAGCCUCCAAGAGAAAGGCUUCUGAGAUGCACAAAACCGUUUUUGCACCGACACUUGUCAAUGGCAUGUUUUCAAAUGUACGCACCGAAGCAGCGAUUAAAAAUGUGUGGAACUAUUCGGCUAUUUGCCUCUUGAUGUAUUUCUGUCAACUUUUUUAAUUACUAAUUUUUAUUCAAGGAAAAAAAAAACAGUAAUAGAAGGCACAAGAAGGUUGUGUGUGUGUGUGUGUAUACACAAGAUACACACGCUUGGGUACCCGGCGUUGCCCAGGUUAUUUGAAAAAGUCUAUAUAAAUAUAACGUAUCUACCUCCGGUAGUGAA
ensembl:lncRNA